AUCGGGGCAGGGUGAGUCGACCCCUAAGGCGAGGCCGAAAGGCGUAGUCGAUGGGAAACGGGUUAAUAUUCCCGUACUUGGUGUUACUGCGAAGGGGGGACGGAGAAGGCUAUGUUGGCCGGGCGACGGUUGUCCCGGUUUAAGCGUGUAGGUGUGUGUUCCAGGUAAAUCCGGUUCACUUUAACACUGAGGCGUGACGACGAGGCACUACGGUGCUGAAGCAACAAAUGCCCUGCUUCCAGGAAAAGCCUCUAAGCAUCAGGUAACAUCAAAUCGUACCCCAAACCGACACAGGUGGUCAGGUAGAGAAUACCAAGGCGCUUGAGAGAACUCGGGUGAAGGAACUAGGCAAAAUGGUGCCGUAACUUCGGGAGAAGGCACGCUGACACGUAGGUGAAGUGAUUUACUCAUGGAGCUGAAGUCAGUCGAAGAUACCAGCUGGCUGCAACUGUUUAUUAAAAACACAGCACUGUGCAAACACGAAAGUGGACGUAUACGGUGUGACGCCUGCCCGGUGCCGGAAGGUUAAUUGAUGGGGUCAGCGCAAGCGAAGCUCCUGAUCGAAGCCCCGGUAAACGGCGGCCGUAACUAUAACGGUCCUAAGGUAGCGAAAUUCCUUGUCGGGUAAGUUCCGACCUGCACGAAUGGCGUAAUGAUGGCCAGGCUGUCUCCACCCGAGACUCAGUGAAAUUGAACUCGCUGUGAAGAUGCAGUGUACCCGCGGCAAGACGGAAAGACCCCGUGAACCUUUACUAUAGCUUGACACUGAACAUUGAGCCUUGAUGUGUAGGAUAGGUGGGAGGCUUUGAAGUGUGGACGCCAGUCUGCAUGGAGCCGGCCUUGAAAUACCACCCUUUAAUGUUUGAUGUUCUAACGUGGACCCGUGAUCCGGGUUGCGGACAGUGUCUGGUGGGUAGUUUGACUGGGGCGGUCUCCUCCUAAAGAGUAACGGAGGAGCACGAAGGUUGGCUAAUCCUGGUCGGACAUCAGGAGGUUAGUGCAAUGGCAUAAGCCAGCUUGACUGCGAGCGUGACGGCGCGAGCAGGUGCGAAAGCAGGUCAUAGUGAUCCGGUGGUUCUGAAUGGAAGGGCCAUCGCUCAACGGAUAAAAGGUACUCCGGGGAUAACAGGCUGAUACCGCCCAAGAGUUCAUAUCGACGGCGGUGUUUGGCACCUCGAUGUCGGCUCAUCACAUCCUGGGGCUGAAGUAGGUCCCAAGGGUAUGGCUGUUCGCCAUUUAAAGUGGUACGCGAGCUGGGUUUAGAACGUCGUGAGACAGUUCGGUCCCUAUCUGCCGUGGGCGCUGGAGAACUGAGGGGGGCUGCUCCUAGUACGAGAGGACCGGAGUGGACGCAUCACUGGUGUUCGGGUUGUCAUGCCAAUGGCACUGCCCGGUAGCUAAAUGCGGAAGAGAUAAGUGCUGAAAGCAUCUAAGCACGAAACUUGCCCCGA
rnacentral:rRNA from 1 species